UAUAGUCCAUUUACAAUAAACAGGCCUCAAGGUCUGAUAAGCCCAAAACCCGUUACACUUGUGACCCAAUUGGUCUAAACUCGAUAGCCUAUACCUCGGUUUAACCCAAUACCCGUAUACAGUCUUAACCCAAAACAUGCAGGGCCUAAAUGGCCCAAUUUGUUAACGGAAGGCAGAGAGGCCUAGGGUUUCAGAAACCCUAGGCGCCACAACCAUUCUAAGCAUCACGCCCUUUCAUCUCGCGUCGUUUCAGUGGGCUUCAUUGGUGCCGUGACUCCGGGCUCGUAUCAUGCCAUAAUCAACGUGUGAAUUAACACCAGCGCGCUCGUCACCGAGAUCUCCUCGUUGAUACCUGCAAAAGAAAGAAAGAACUACGACAGAAAAGAGACAAACAAGGAAAGAAAUCGAACAGAUUCUUUCCCAAAAUGUAUCCAGAGGUUAUAAAACCUCUCUUUUUUGAUUUGUAAGAUACAUUUUUUUUUUAAACAGAAAUAUACAAACAGUUGCUACAUACACAGAGAAACAUCAACAGAUUAUAAAACAGAGGUGAAUAUUUCAUUUUUUUUGCAUGCUGGUAUCAUAAAAAUAAGAAAGGAGAAGACGAACCGUUUCUGAUCUGCGUUGAAACGGGAAGCUUUCCAGCUUCUGAUCGCCACACGUGGCGGUGUUGACGGCGGCGCGUGGGCGCGUGUGCCCGAUGACCGGGGCUUGGCCUGACGGAGGCCAGAGCCCGGAGGGCCUUUCUUC
rnacentral:lncRNA from 1 species